CCUACGGGGGGCUGCAGUGGGGAAUUUUGGACAAUGGGGGCAACCCUGAUCCAGCAAUGCCGCGUGUGUGAAGAAGGCCUUCGGGUUGUAAAGCACUUUUGGCGGGAGCGAAAGGGCCUGGGCUAAUACCCCGGGUUGAUGACGGUACCCGCAGAAUAAGCACCGGCUAACUACGUGCCAGCAGCCGCGGUAAUACGUAGGGUGCAAGCGUUAAUCGGAAUUACUGGGCGUAAAGCGAGCGCAGGCGGUUGUGUAAGACAGAUGUGAAAUCCCCG
rnacentral:rRNA from 1 species